rnacentral:rRNA from 1 species
AUUGAACGCUGGCGGCGUGCUUAACACAUGCAAGUCGAGCGGUAACAGGCGUAGCAAUACGUGCUGACGAGCGGCGAACGGGUGCGUAAUACAUGGGAAUCUGCCUAGUAGUGGGGAAUAACCCGGCGAAAGCCGGGCUAAUGCCGCAUACGAUCCACGGAUGAAAGCGGGGGACCUUCGGGCCUCGCGCUAUUAGUUGAGCCCACUGUCGGAUUAGCUAGUUGGUGAGGUAACGGCUCACCAAGGCGACGAUCCGUAGCUGGUCUGAGAGGAC